rnacentral:rRNA from 1 species
UUAAUAGUUAAGUUUUUUAAAUCUAAAAAAUUUGGCGGUAUUUUAGUCUUAUUAGAGGACCCUGUUUAUUAAUUGAUCACCCACGAUUAACUUUACUUAUUUUACUUAAUUCAUAUAUCGCUGUCAUGAAUAUAUUAAAAAAUUUAUUUUCUUUUGUUAUUUUUAUAAUUUAUGUUAACUCAAGAUGUGGUUUAUAAAUAAGAAUAUAAUGGGUUACAGUAAAUUUUAUUUUUGAAUUUUAAAUGAAAAUUAAAAUGAAAUUGGAUUUAAUAGUAAGUUUAUUUAUUUAGUUAAUAUGAAUAAAGAUCUAAAAUAUGUACAUAUUGCCCGUCAUUCUUAUUAAAAAUAAGACAAGUCGUAACAAAGUAAAUGUACUGGAAAGUGUAUUUAGAAAGAUAUAUUUUAAAA